AUUUUUUAUUUUUAUUUUUUUACUGUGUCUUCAAUCUGAGCUGACUAAGCCCAAGUCAAGUUCAGGCUAUGGGUGGCAUCUGUUUUGGUGGCCUCACACUUUGAUCUGCACAAUAGAGCAGGUAAUAAACUGUUUUAGUACAUCUCUACCCUAUCCAGGAAGCUCAGAGGACAAUGAAGAGUGUCUUGAUCACAGUUCAUCUGAGGUAGAAGAUCACUUAGCUUUUCUUCACAGGACUGCAGCUGAGAUCCACCGCUCCCAGGAGAUGGUCGGUGAUACAAGGUAGAGAUUUCACCCCUGAAUACUGAAGAAAAGGAGAAGAAAGAAAAAGUCUGUUGGAGAAGUACCAAAUUACAUAUCGUUCAGAAGUGAAACAAUCUUUGCUGGUUUUAGAAAGCAGCUCUAUUGCAAAUAUCGUUGUGGUAUACGUUUACCCUCCUAGACUUCUUUUAUACCAUUUCCCUAGAAGGUAGCAAAACACACUGGUGCUUUGGAUAAAUAGAAACCCAGAACAGAUAGAAUAAGUAGCAUGGUCAUGGUUAUACAGAAGAUAUGUGGCUAAGCAGGAGCUUGAAUAAGGAUCUCAGCAUUACAGCUCUGCUAAUCUGAAUACCUCUGCUUUCUGCGACAGCAGACAGACAGGCAUCAAUGAAGUAAACUGGAGAUACAACAUAUUAAACAGAGUCUGCAUGGGCUCAAGCUAGGGAAAUCAAUUGCUUAAACUGUUGAAAGCAGAGAGAUAAUAUAGGCAAAAUCUUCACUUUAAUUAUUAACUGCUUUCAGCUUUUUAUUUUUUUUAUUUUUUUAUCAGAAUGGAGGAAAGGGGAAAAAAAAAAAGAAAAGAAAAAGAUUUAUCAGAACUGAGUGAUCAAAAAGAUUAUUUCUUUUUUUCUUCCUAAGAAAAGCUGCAACAAUUCUUCAUCAAUUAUAAACCAAGAAAGACAGGGGCAAGAAGAACACUUUGCAUGCAGGCCUCCCGCGCUUCCCCCCCUUCCCCCCUUC